UAGACAUACAAUUUUGUAUGUAUUCUCAGUGAGACGGCAUAUGGUAUAUUGUACUCUUACCUUGUUUAUUGUUUAAAUUAUAUAAUAUACUUUACCAAUCGUUAUUGACAAUUAAAAUUACACUUAUAUACUGUGAUUCAAGCUCAUUAUGUUCAACCCAGAUACAUUUCAAAAUUGAGGGGAAAUUUGCCCUUUUUAUACCAUUUUAGAUACACCCCUGAGAUUAUGUGACUACACAUAAAAUGUCCUUAAUAGUAAAUGUAACAAUGAAAAAAUGAAGCAACAGCAGUUCUGUAGAUUGCAAAUCAGAAGUUAUGUGGAUGUAUUUUAGUAAUGUUAUCAGCUCAGUUUGAUUGUACAAGAUCCAACCCAUCAGCAUUCAUCUACACUUCUUCUGCAGCUACUCACCAUUUUGGGACAGAGGCACUUACUUUAUCUAAAUAAAGCCUGAUAAUGAAAAUUGCCCUGGUGAUUAUGCUGUUGUACGUGUGUUUGGAGGAAGUCUUCACCACCUCCCAGAUACAAGGCGACGCUGGAUGGAAUGUGAUGAUGGAUAGUGCAAUAGAUAAUAACAUUGUGAUACCUAUUGAGGAUGAUCAGAGCUCAGACAUUUACAACGGCGAUGAAUACUCCGACGUUUUUGUACAGUCAGUAAAAAAGCGGAGAAGGGAUAGGCGGAGAAAGACCGGGUAUAAACGCUACGGAUAUUGCCUGCCGCCUAUGAACAACUAUGGGGUCCGCUACACAGGGGAGUCUGCGGUCAAGAUAAUACUUUUCGUUCUGUGGUAUCUGUACUAUUCUAAGCAAACCAAUGGAGUAUAAAGAAAGAUUUUGUAACAUUUUUCAAAACAGGAAAAGGAAUAAUAAGCCUUAAUUUCUAAAGUUAAAUACAUUUCAAUAGAGGUCAAGUAUUGUUGUGGUCAGAGACUUGAUAUGACAAUUUGGUAGGAACUUAAAUUUGGAAUAGAUAACUUAAACAUAUUUUUGAAACCCACAUUUGCGUUUUUGACCGAUAUGAAAAGUAAAAGCUUCCUACUAAAACUGUUGGAUUAAAUUAAUUUAUAAUUUGAAACUUAUCUGUUUGCAUUGUUUUAAGACUGUUUUCUACUUCUGUGAGUGUUGCAGGGAAUGAGGAUAUUGCAAACGAUGUAAUAGAAACUAAAUCGUCUUAUUUUGUUAUCAAUUGAACAUGAGUUAUCGUGCAGAACUGGAUAUUUAUGUUACAGAAAAAUUUGCAAAAAAACUAUUAAUCAAUGAAAAAUACAACAGGUGUUUAAUAUAUUUUUAAGUUAUAAGAUGCCAAUCUACAGAGUUUUACAAAUCAUUGAAAACAAUGAAAAUUAGGUUAAGGUUAUAAAUUUGUAAUUUCUGAAUAGUACAAUUUUGAAGGAAAUGUCCUGGAUUCUAAUAAUGUGGGGGCCAUCAAAGGUAUUGGUAGUCCUGCUGAUACCUCAUUCUAUUCAGAAUACUUAGACAUGUAAUUAAUGCUUGGCAGACACAACACUUCACUUUGCGCUGUUGACACUAACAUACCAUCCAGAAUACCAAAACAUUUUUAGAAUGGUGAAUGUCAGUUAUUGAUUUAAACUUGUAGGUAAUUCAAUGUGAUUUCUUAUGUAUGAAUAAAACUUUUCCUCAUUUA